rnacentral:misc_RNA from 1 species
CUGUAAGAGACAUUAGGGUUCUUGAGACUGCGUAAUAAAACGUGUGCUCGACCCUUAUUCUUUUCAUCCACACACACCUUUGUGCACUAUGGGACGCAAGUCCCCAUUUUCACAUUAAAAUCUAGUUAUAUGCAUGUCUUUUAUACUCUAUGGAGUAAUGUA